rnacentral:rRNA from 1 species
CCUGACGCAGCGACGCCGCGUGAGUGAUGAAGGCUUUCGGGUCGUAAAGCUCUGUCAAGUGGGAAGAACCCACAGGGUGCCAAUACCAUCCUGUGCUGACGGUACCACUGAAGGAAGCACCGGCUAACUCCGUGCCAGCAGCCGUGGUAAUACGGGGGGUGCAAGCGUUACUCGGAAUCAUUGGGCGUAAAGGGCGCGUAGGCGGCCUGGUAAGUCAGAUGUGAAAGCCCGGGGCUCAACCCCGGAAGUGCAUCCGAUACUGCUGGGCUUGAGUAUGGGAGAGGGAGGUGGAAUUCCUGGUGUAGAGGUGAAAUUCGUAGAUAUCAGGAGGAACACCGGUGGCGAAGGCGACUUCCUGGACCAAUACUGACGCUGAGGCGCGAAGGCGUGGGGAGCAAACAGGAUUAGAUACCCUGGUAGUCCACGCAGUAAACGUUGAUCACUAGGUGUAGCGGGUAUUGACCCCUGCUGUGCCGCAGCUAACGCAUUAAGUGAUCCGCCUGGGGAGUACGGCCGCAAGGUUAAAACUCAAAGGAAUUGACGG